CGAGGAAUUUUGCGCAAUGGGCGGAAGCCUGACGCAGCAACGCCGCGUGGGUGAGGAAGGCCUUCGGGUCGUAAAGCCCUUUUGUUGGGGACGAAUUCUGACGGUACCCAACGAAGAAGCCACGGCUAACUACGUGCCAGCAGCCGCGGUAAUACGUAGGUGGCAAGCGUUGUCCGGAUUUAUUGGGCGUAAAGGGCGCGCAGGUGGUGGCGUGCGUCUGCUGUGAAAUCUCCCGGCUCAACUGGGAGGGCGCGGUGGAGACGGCGUCACUGGAGGCACUCAGAGGCCGGUGGAAUUCCCGGUGUAGUGGUGAAAUGCGUAGAGAUCGGGAGGAACACCAGUGGCGAAGGCGGCCGGCUGGGGGUGACCUGACGCUGAGGCGCGAGAGCGUGGGGAGCGAACCGGAUUAGAUACCCGGGUAGUCCACGCCGUAAACGAUGGCCACUAGAUGUGGGGGGUAUCGACCCCCUCCGCGUCGUCGCUAACGCAGUAAGUGGCCCGCCUGGGGAGUACGGCCGCAAGGCUAAAAAUC
rnacentral:rRNA from 1 species